ACAUGCACGUUCACACACACACACACACAUGCACGUUCACACACACACACACACACACACACACGCGUACACAUCAUGGCCAGAAUAUGGAGCCUGCUGCUGUAUUGCUCUUUCCCUGCUGUCUAUGGAUCUCUAAUAACACAGACGCCGUCCUUCACUGCAGUAGAGGUCGGUGAAGAUGUCCACCUUAGCUGUGUUUACGUUAAGGAGACCGUCUCCACCGCCAUCUGGAUGAAGCAGUCUGUUGCCGAGGAGACGGUGACCAUUGGCUCAUACUACGCUUCAAACAUAUAUUAUCACAAUGGCUUUGACACGAGUGGCCGGUUUAAACUGGACGCUGCAGCUAACGCCAUCAACUUGACUAUCUCCCGAGCCCAAGCUGUGGACUCAGCUACAUACUAUUGCGGAUUCAUAUAUUACACAGAAGUGACUUUUGGAAAAGGAAGUGUCUUAUUUGUCAAAGGAGAGGACUCCAGGAGUGGUGUGUUUGAGCUGCAGCGUGGGUUUGAGUCAGAAUGCCCCAAAGUGUCAAUCAUCCUGCUGAGUCUCCGCCUCUCAGAUGCACACACACACAACUGCACGGUGGAGGCCUGCACACACAUCCUCUCCACAGACAGGACAGCGCCACCCGGUGAGGUUCCCAGCAGCUGUGUGUUUUGGGGCGUGCUGAAAACGGGGGUCCAGCUCGCAACUCUGCUGGUCUGCGUGCUCGUCUACUGCAUGAGGAAGAGGAGCCCAGCAACUCCCACAUAGUCAUCAUGCCCACCACGUAGUCAUUAUGCCCACCACAUAGUCAUCAUGCCCACCACAUAGUCAUCAUGCCCACCACAUAGUCAUCAUGCCCACCACAUAGUCAUCAUGCCCACCAUGUAGUCAUGCCCACCACAUAGUCAUCAUGCCCACCAUGUAGUCAUGCCCACCACAUAGUCAUUAUGCCCACCACAUAGUCAUCAUGCCCACCACAUAGUCAUCAUGCCCACCACAUAGUCAUCAUGCCCAUCACAUAGCUCAUAUACCUGAGAUGCAACAAUAAACUUAACUUGAACUUGAACUUGAACUUGAACAUAGUCAUCAUGCCCAGCAUGUAACCAUGCCCACCAUGUAACCAUGCCCACCACAUAGUCAUGCCCACCACAUAGUCAUGCCCACCACAUAGUCAUGCCCACCAUGUAGCCACCACAUAGUCAUGCCCACCACAUAGU